rnacentral:lncRNA from 1 species
GCUCUGGAUUCAAAUCCUCAUUUCUCAUCUCACAUAUGUUAUGCAAAACACAGCAUGCCCCAAGAACUACUGGAAGAUCUUGAAGUUUCAUCUCUGUUCUCUUCUGCAGGCAACUCCACCUUGCUUUCAAUCUCAUAAAAGAAUCCUUGGCAACCCUUUGAACCUCCUCAAUUUUCUCAUUCAAAGCAUGUUGUGUCCAGGUAAGAUUCUGGUGAGUAUAAGGAACCAAAACCCAAUCCAUUAAUGGAUACCCAGAGCUCCCAACCACCCAAACAUCCUUCAAAACCCCUCGACUCGCCCUCUGGAAAAGGGCAGAAUUUUCCAACACCUGAUCAUCAGUCAUUGAUCCAGGCCACCCAAUACAAAUGUCCGUAAAAACACCCCUAGGAUCAACUACACCUUGAACUGUAAUCGAGUAAGAAGUCUUCUGAUUUCUUUCUGUAUGCCUCUUGUUAAAAUAAGCCGCCACAUUAAUCUUUGGAGCAAUGAUAGGAACAUGUGUUGUGUACAUUGCGCCACCCACAUUUGGAAUCCCCGAAACAAAUUCAAACUCCCUUUUAAUCUCCUCCAUUCUAUUCCCAUCAGGCCACUGCAAGAACUUUGGCAUUAGCACACUCCUUAUAGCAGAACAACCUUCAAGAACCAACUUGUGACAGGUAGAAAUUCCCAGCCCAAAACGCUUUGAAACUUCACGAAGAGCCUCACCCGUGGCCAAUCUCCAUAUACACACCGCCACACGCUGACGAACCGGGAUUGCCAACCGCAGCAUUGUGUCCUUUUUCGUCACGGCUGGUUCGAGCUCCUCACAAAUCAUAUUAAAUGUUGCUCUGCUCAUCCUAAAAGCCUUCUUAAACUCCUCUUCCGGAAAAUCCGGACUGUUAACUUGCUCCCACCAUGCUUUAGACCGGGUUUUCACCCAGAGCCUCCGCUGUGAGCUGCCGCCUGCACCACCGGUCGAGUCGUCUGACGUUGUCAUCACCUCAUAACUCUCCGUACGAGUCCUCUUUGCAUAAGACGAUUGCCCAGAAUUCGAACCCAUAAAAGCAUCUUGAUUCUGAACAAUAUUCAAGUAAUUUUCACUGUCAUCCAUCUUUUGACUCCUUCGCUUAUUUCUCGACUCCAAAAUGGAAUCUUGAUGUGUAUAAUGUACGGGUGAUACGUUCUUCUUUGCUUUCUGCUCUUCCAUUUGACUAUCAAGUCCCAAAAGUUCGCUUAGUAAAUCCGUCCCGAAUUCAUUACAAAACAUUUCAACUCCUGGGCGCUUAUUAGCAGUAUUGGUGAUUGACAUACUAUUGGGGUCUGGUUCUUGAAUUAAAGAAUAGAAGUUUGACGAGUAAUCUUCUUGGAAAAUUGGGAAAGAAGAAAUUUCCAUUAAAUAAUAGUGUGAAAAUGUUUGUGUAAAAGAGGUCUGAACGGGGAAUGUGAACACAGAAGAGUUUUAAUUGAGUCAAUGUAUAAAGAAUGGGAAUGGGUUUUUGAUAUAUAUACAUAUGCACACGGUUUUCAGGGGUGGUGCGGUGGGGUUCAAGGAGGCGUGUGAAACGUGGACGCGGUGGAGGAAGAUUCAGUGGCGGUUUCCGAUGGCGGUGAACUGUGGGCGGGUUUCUUGGAGAAUUUUAUAUAAUUGUUUUACGCGGUCGGAGUUUUGAGAUUAUCCUUAAAGUCCUGUUUGGAAAUGGGCAAUGGAAGUUUCGUAGAGGUAGAGAUAAAGAGUGGGGAAGUUUCUAUGGGACCCCUAAUCUUUCCUUUUGUCCCAAUUCACGUCUCUAGUCUUCCAUUUGGCCAACUUCAUGUCCCGAACCUUUUAAAAUUAUCCACACGGUAUUCCAAUCUAACAAAACCCAUCUUUUAGACUGAUAAAAGGACAUGAAGUAAGAUACGUCAUAAACCGCAAGCAGCCCAACCGAUUUAACGAUGGUCAUGCAACAGAUUGCACGAGCACUUCGAUUAUGAGUCGGAGGACUUACGAACAUAAUUGUCUAAAAAUAAUUUUCCUCCACUUUGAGAACCUCCUAGAAAUAUAAAUUCAAUAAGAAGAUUCUGCAUUUGUUGGGAGAUAUAUUUUUCAACAGUUACCUACUUAAAAAUAUUCGAAGUGUUGGGAGAUAUAAUUUUCAACAAUUAUACUCCUCCGUCAUUUAUUAUGAGCCUACCAUGUAUUCUUUUGCCCUAUAAAUAGAUCAUUUCAUUGAAUUGAAUACCAUAUACACAAUUUUAAAACGUUGGGGACAUAGAGUGGUCCAAGCAAAAGAGUUGGUACACAACGUGGCACAAGUAUAAAGGUUGGGAUCCUAGAGGAAUUUACCUAGAACAUAAUGAAAAUUAGAUUAAUGCAUGUUCGGUAAUCAAAAAAUAAAUUAUAAUUGUAUUCAAAAAUGUUUGUUAUGUUUAAACAUAUGAAGAUAAGUUACUUUUUAUUUAUCUAUAAUCAAUUUUUAUUUUAUUUAUUUAUAUAUUUUUGGAAAUGCACAACAUUUUAAAUGUACCAAUGGUUAUUCACCGCAUUCUUAUUAUUAUCCUCAUCGAUGAAUGGCUAUUUUGAUACUUAUAAAUACACCACUUUUUAAUGAUAUUAGAGUAUCUUUAAGAGAGCAUUUUAUAUUCAAGAAAAAAAAUUCUACGCCCCGAAGAUAAUCCUUGUUUUGGUUAUUCAUUUUUUAUUUUUAUUUUUCGAAGAAACGUUUAUUGAUUUCUUCUUAUAUAUUUAUUUAACAUAUUUUUUUAUAUAUCAAUCAUCAAAUGAUCUCAAACAUCAAAACUUGACGAUUUUUAAUCUCGAUUUCCUCAAUAAUCAACGUCUUGAUGAUUCUAAUCAUUUCUGAACAUUUAGAAUUCAAAUUUACAAGGGUGUCCUCAAUUCAGAGUUUAAUAGAUUUUUUAAUAUUUAUAAAUUUCCAUGGAUUGUAUGGUAUUUAUAGAAAAUAAUAGAUUUCAUAAGAUUCGAAUGAAUUUUUAUUUUGUAAAUUUUAAUAGAUUUUCAUGGAUUUUAUAGAUUUUAGUGGAUUUGGCUAAAAUUUCUACAGUUCUUUUUUGAUCUGCUCAAAUCAUGGCUUACUCAAAAUCCAAACGCAAUAGGAUUCAAGAAAAAUGAGGAGUCCAUAUGCUCUUUUAAAGAUUAUCAUGGUUUUACGUUUAGUUCAUAAAUAUUAUGUAAUGGAUCAUUACAAAAUGGUUUUACCCACAUAUUCAGCAAAAUGCAAGAGAGAGAGAGAGAGAGAGAGAGAAGAAGAAGAAGAAAAUCAGUAGUAUCUUUACAAUAAGAAAAAAUCAGAAUUGUGUGAAAUUAGAGGGAGAAGAAGAAAAAAUGUUCACAUCGAGGGAGGGGGCGAGAAAGAGAAAUAUGUAGAAAGGUAAGAAAAGUUGUGAAAUUUUUAAGUUUGAGAUAAAAUUGUUACAAAUUUUUGGUAAUUAUAUUUAUGGCUUGAAAUCUUUCAAAAUCUAUCUAGGGGGGUGUCCUCAAUAUAGAGUUCUAUGGAUUUUAAAACUCCAUAUAAAUUGAGGUGUCCUCAAUUAAGAUUUAAAUAUAAUUUAUUAAAAUAUAGUUGUUCUCAACCUAGACUUUUAGAAAUAUUUAUAAAUUUAGGUGUCCUCAAUUUAGAUUUUAAUAGGUAAAAUAGAAAUUUACAUGUCCUCAAUAACUACUUGAUUUAAUUAAUUAGAUAGAAUUAGAUAGAUUUUAAAAGAUUUCAAGCCAAAAGUAUAAAUACCAAAAAUCUGUAACAAUUAUAUCCCAACCCCACAAAUUUCAAGGCUUUUCUCGCCUGCAGAUUUGUUGCCCUCUCCCUCUCUGGUGAAAAGGUUUUUCUUCUUCUUCUCCUCCCUAUCUCGCAUCCAUCUGUCAUGAACAGAUCAAUUUUUAUUGAAUUUAUCAAUUUACUGACUUGUUAGUUUCACCAAUGGCCAUUAAUUUCCUAUAUAUUCUGAUGUGUUAAUUUCACCAAUGGCUGUCAAUUGAUUUUUUAUUCUGACAUGUUAAUUUUGGAUUUUUCUUAUUGAAUAUACUGUAGAUUUUUUUCCAUGUGUAAGUAAUUAAGAGUUACAAAAUAUAGUUAUAAUGACAUACACAUUCAUUGAAAUCUAUUUUACCAUAAAUUUUACCCAAAUCGAUGAGAAUAUAUAAAAUCCAUUAAAAUCUAUAAAAAUCCAUGAAAAUCUACAAAAUAGAAAUUCAUUUAAAUCUUAUGAAAUCUAUCAAAUUCCAUACAAUCCAUGAGAAUUUAUAAAUAUUAACAAAUCUACUAAACUCUGAGUUGAGGACACCCCCACUAAUUAAUAAAAUCCUUUUAAAUCAAUUAGUUAUCGAGGACACCUAAAUUUAUAAGUAUUUCUAAAAAUUCAGAUUGAGGGCACUUACAUUUUAAUGAAUUGAAUUUUAAUCUAAAUUCAGAACACCUCAAUUUAUAUGGAGUUUUAAAAUUCAUCAAACUCUAGAUUGAGGACACCCCCUUAGUGAUCUGUUAAAAAUUUGGUUAAAUUAAAAUUGAAGGCAGAUAAAUUACCCAUUUACUUCCAUCUUUUAGUAGAAACUAAAAAUUCCCAAAACAAUAGUGGGGCUAUUUUCGUAACUUUACUUUAUUAUUAUUAUUAUUAUUAUUAUUAUUAUUUUUAUUAUUAUUUUAUUUUAUUUUUGGGUAAAACUCGUAACUUGACUUCCUAAAAAAAGUUUUCAUAAAAACGAAAAAUCAAUGUUUCCCAUGUUAAAUUUUAGAAUUAAUACAAAUAUAGUCCCUAUUUGGCCCCUAAUUAAAUUAAGGGCAUGUUUGAUAUGGGAUUUUUUCCAAUUUCCAAUUUUUUUAUUGUUUGAUAGCAAAAAUUUUCCAUAGAAUUCAUUUUCCAUCUUCCCAGCCCACAUGACCAAUUUCCCAUGAACUGGUAGUGAGAAAAUGAUUUUCAACCUCUUUAAAAAAUAAUAAUAAAAAAAUAAUAAAAUGAAAAAUCGACAAUGGAAACAAAUUCUAUUCACAAUUGUAACAAAUUACAUCCCUUUAAUUGACAAUUUUCAUUAAAAACAAAGUCAAACGAAUAUUAAAAAAUUCAAAAUUUCAACAUUUUCCAGUUAGAAAAUUAUAGUAAUAAAAAACAUUUAAUUGAUAAUUCCCAAUAAAACAAGUUUUAACCAAUUCAAUUCCUUGAAAUUCUUUUUCUUUCUACCCAAAUUUCAUUAUUGCCAUCAAACGGACCCUAAAUUUCAUUUUUUUCUCUUCUUAUCAAUAACACAUUUUUCAAUAAAAUAAUAAUACAUGUAAACAUAAAAUAAUAAUAAUAAUAAAUAAAUAAAUAAAUUCCUUCCUUUUUAAUCACAUAUUCUGAUAUUCUUUAAAAAGUUACUAAUCCUUUCAUUAUAAUUGAAAAUAAUGGAGCCCAAACAAGGGCAUAUACAUGUAAUUUUUAUUGUUUUAAGUAGGUGAAACGCUUAAAAACUUUAAGCUGUGAAUUGUUCUCUUAUAAAUUUGGAUUCUUGAUUUGUAGAAGACACCAAAAAUUAAAAGAAAAAUAAGCGUCUCUAUUCAAUGUUUUCAUAGAGGCUCGCUCUGCUUCCCCUAACUAUGGUGAAAAAGAACGGAACAACCACGUCACAUUUAGAGCAUAUUUGAUUAGAUUUUUGAUAAUAGAUUUUUUGGAAAAAAAAAAUUGAAAAUUUUGAUUAAAAAAAUAAAAAAGUUAUGGGUCCAUGUGAACAAAAAUUUAUUGAAAGAAUGUGCGAUUGAAAAUAUUUUCGAUUUUUUUUCAUAGAAUUUAUAACAAAUACUUAGGAUGAGUUUUAUUGAAUUUAUUUUCCUAAUGAAAAAUUAACAUUUUGUCAUUCAAAUUCCUACUUUUAGGUGUUUGAUUGACUUUUUUCCAUGAAUUUUUUUUUUUAAAAAAUGGUCAUAUAGCCAUAUUUUUCUUAAAAACAAGAAAAUUAUUUUCUUACGGUACUUGUGAUAAUAAGGAUAGUUGUGAAUCCUAAAACAACUGGUUGAACUAAUAUCAAAAUUUUGUAUUAUUGAGGAUUUUUUGAACAUUCUUCAAAUCUAUUCAUCUUUUGAACGAAGUUAAUGAUUUCAGUUGAUGUUUAUUAGGUUAUAACAUUCUUCAAAUCUAUUAGGUUAUUAAAAAUCAAACCUAUUAAAACCGACCCAACCCGGUAAAAAAAGUGAAACCCUAUAUCCAAGUCAAUCUGCACCCCAUCGUAGUAACGUGACGUCCUCGCCUAUCUCUCUAUUGGGUUUGGUCUAUUUUCUUUGUCGAACCAUGUCGGGUUGAUUUAGAAAAUAGACAAAAAUUGGUAGAGUGGAUUUGGGUCAUGUUGGGCAGUUUGGCCUGUUUCCCUCUCCUAGCUCUAGACAAGAAUUGCAAUAGCAGAAAAUGUUGGGAAAUAAUUAGUUGCAGUAAAUUAAAAAGUUGUAAGAACUUAUUGAUUGAUCAAAUAUCGUGACAGCACAAUGUCCUAAGGAAAAAUUGUUAGUUGUUAACUGUUGCGAUCUUUGUGGACAAUCACUUCCAAAAUACAAUGAUCAAACACGUCGCUUAUUCAACAAUCAUGAAUGGUUUCAGGACUUUCAAGUGCACUCAAUAUGUAUGAAAAAUUACAAAAUACCAUGAUUCAAAAAUAUUCGUAGUUUUAUUGAUAAUGAGUUGGUAAAAAACAAUUAUAUUAUAUUGAUUAGUUUGAUUAAUUAAAAAAAUGAUUAAAAAAUAAUAAAAAAUUUGCUUUAAUUGAGGAAGGCCAAGGCCUCAAUGCCCAAUCAAAGACUUUUUAUUUAUCGCGUAGAAUGUAAACCGAACCCCAACCUCCCGCACAAAUUCCAUACUUCUAAUCAAUUGAACACUUGCUUUAACUUUCACAUAAUAUAUUUAUUGUUAUAUAUUUAUUGUAUAAAUAUUUAACAAAAACCAAAUCGUUCGUAACGGUGGAAGCAGUCGAAGAGGCAGAAACGGUCACGGGCACUAGAUGCGUUUGAGUGAAGUAAUAUUGGAAAAUCCAGUUUCGUCUCUCCUUUUCUUUGGCUCCUAAGUUACCCUUUUUCCCAUUUACAGCUUCAAAUGGUGAAGUUCUCCAGAUGGCAUAACAUCUGGGCUUGCACUCAUUGGACAUUGGAUUCCUCCAGAAUUUUGUAAAUAAAUUAUUAUCUGAUUUUUUAUUUUUUUUUUAAAUUAAGCCCCUGACAACCAUCAUUUCAAAAUUUUUUAAUUCUCAUACUCAUUUUCAACCAUACGUUUGCACAAUAAAAUAUUCUGUAUAUAAACUAAAAACUUUUUUCUACUUUUUAACAACGCAUUCUUAAAAAAAUCACUAUUCAAAUCUUCAUUUUCUCAAAAUAAUAAACAUCAUAUAAUAGCUAAAUUAUAUUCCAUGUGGUUUUCCACUAGUUGAAUGGAUCUUGUUCAAAUAUGGAUUGGAAAAGGCUAAAUCAAAUAUAGAGUCGACCAACGAAGUGAUUCGAGGCAUAAACUUCAAUACAGAAGAAUAUAAUGGCUCAAAUAAUUAUAAGACUGUAAAAAUAAGGUCUAAUAUGCAGCUAGAAACAUAAAACACACCAAUCAAAAUGUUAAUAAUGAAAUAAGUAACAUAGUAGUGAUAACAUACUAUGGCCAUUAAUGAGCAAAAGAAACGACAAUCUAUAUAUGAAUCUUGCUUGCUUCGACUUUAAACAGAAACGAAGCUGAAAGAAGAUGAAACAUACACCCGGCGCCAAUAAAAAUAUGCAAGAAAGAGAAGUGAACCUAUAGUGAGAUGAAACAAUUCCCACAAGAUGAUCAAUGCAUUGAUAUAGAGAUUUCGUUCAGGCUGUAAUGGAAUAGAAAAUGCCAAAGAUUCGGCAAGUACACAUUUUACAAUUUCGUAAGUUAUAAAAUAAGCGAAGAGCAUGUUCGAUUUAUCACAAAAAUUCUCUAUCAAACAUAUCUUAAAGCUCAACAAUUACCUUAAAUGAAGUUGCCAAAAUCUUACACUAGAAGCAAAGAACAACUCAAAAGGAUAAACUCAUUAAAUAUCUCAAUAGCCAACACAAUUAUAAGUUGUUUAAGUUCUUGCAAGGCACUAAGAAUUGUUCUGAGGCAGUAAUCAUGCAACAAAUUAUAAUAAUACAAGGCCAAGUUCAGAUGGUUUCAGAGCAUUUCUUAGCCGAUAGUUAUACAGAUAAUAGUAUAGUUGGCCAUCACCUUGUCCAAAUUUGAGUUCCUUCAGAAAAGACUCAUUCUCCAUGACAUCCAGAGCAUUAAAGACGUCAUAAUCCUUCUGUUUUGCAAUAAUAAGGGCAUCAUUCAUCAGUUGAAGCAGUGGAACUCUAGUAGAGACGUUAUAAAAACUAUAAGCUGCUUUCAGAAUUGAGUGAUUCUGGUUGUUAAGGAUGGAUGACGGGAGGGUAUAGAAGCUUAUAAAAUCUGUUAUUUCAUGAGUAUCUUGACUAUCAACAACAUAACUAUCAACUACGUUCUCCUGAGGAAGAAGCCAGUGCUCCACUUCAUUGUCAUCAAAAUCAGGAGCAACAACGAAUUGGCUCAAGUAGUUCUUCAGCAGCCGAGUAACAGCAGGAACAUCACAUAGCUCCAUUUUCCUUAAACCAGGGGUUGAUGUUGAACUUGGCAACUUGUAGAGUUUAAUUGCACGGCUCAUUGUCAUCCGAUCACCAAGCCUAGAGAACCCAACAUCAAUGAGCUUCUUCGGGUUCAAUGUCCUAUGCCAAUAUUGGCACGUGAUGACCGGUGUCGGAAGAAGUACUCCAGCAGUGUAAGCAGCCUGCCAGAUAUUCUCCAAGUGAAUCCUCCUUGUAACUUCCUUAAUCAUCACAGGUGCGAGUCUCUUGGACCUGAGCUUCUUGUGAACACACAAAAAAUUAACCUCGGCCAUUUUCACAAUCUCAUCACGCACCCUCAUUUUUACCGGAAUACCAGUGAUAAAAGCAACCAAUUUCUUCGAAGACUUGACACGAACCCCAAUGUGCCAACUCUGGUAAUAUGCUGGAGGGUGCAGAGCCCAGCGAAGAAACUCCUUUGAGUAAUUAAAUCUGAACAGGUUAUCAUCAUCCUCUACAUAAUUAUUAGUCAACAAUACAUAAACCUCAUUGCAGAUCUCAUCAGAAUCCAUAUCACAAACUGUCCAUUCAUACAAGUUAGGGAGAUUAUAGGGCUCUUGUUUGACCUCGGAUAAUGGUUUCGGCAGCUCAAUGGGGCCCUCGGGCAAACUCGAGUCCCCAACAUCCUUAAACUGACCAACAGGUUGGGUUUCCCAAAACUUGUGCUGUUUAUUAGAAGUACUGGUAUCCUGGAACUUUUGAACUAGGUAUUCAAGGGUAGUUUUAUAGUCAGGAAGCGGGUUUUCCACAGAAUCGUGAUCUGGGUUUUCUUUAUUGGGUUCAGAUGGAGAUUCUUUGUCAGCCAUUUUCCAGUACUGCGGAAAAACAAUUAUUUUCUAAUUAUGAUAGCAUACAACCAUUUUUCGCCAGAAAGCAAACAAACCAUCAGAAGAAAACCAUUCCUAUUGAAAAAAUAAAGAUAUGUACUUCAAUUCAUACAUUCUUUAUCCCAUUAAAAACGAAAAUUACGUAGAAUAAUCAAAUUACGAAUCAAAUCCAGUAAAAAAAUCUUGGAGUAAUAAAACAUUCAGAAACUUACAUUCGGAGUGGCGAUUGUUAAAUGUCAACGGGUGCCUACAAUUGGGAAUUCUUACACUGUUUUUCCACUAGGGUUUAACAUUCCGAGCACGGAAGGAUUUUAGCUUUAUGUUUUUGUAUCAUUUUUUUUUAUCUAAAGUGAUCCCAUUUGUUUGAUUUGGUUUACAUAAAGAUCCCCAAGGAAACAAAUGUGACAGAACGGAACAUUUUCGAGAGAGAGUCAAGAUAUGUGUUUUUUGUGACUUAAAAAUGUCGGCAUUUUACUUUUGUGAUGGAAUUACUCCUUUAGAACGGUUUUCAUAAAAAUUUUAGUUAAAAUGAUUUGUGAAAACCUGCUUUUCUCGAGGGAGCAAGAUGCAUAAAUAACAAUUAUUUUCAAUAAAAGCGAAAGAUAAAAGGAAAUGAAAGUAUAAAAAAUCAAAUCCAAUAUCAUCAACGCCGAAUCUACCUUACAACAUCCGUUCUCUAAUAAUAUUACUAACUCUUAACCCUGAGGGGUAGCUCAGUGGUCAGACUUUGAGUUUGCUCUUCAAUGGUCACCAGUUCGAGUUCUCUCAGAGCCAAUGAGGUGAGUAUCCGUCUGUAAACUUAAGGGUCCCAUGUGAUUAGUCGAGAUGCGCGUAAAUUGGCCCGGACACUCAUGGUUAUAAAAAAUAUAUAUAUAUAUAUUACUAACUCUUCCUCAUCAUACUUGAGUUGCUCCCUUCUAGUCGCUUUUUCCCAACUCUCUACUCUUUUCUCGUUCUCUUGGCACUACUAGUUCAACUUGCACAUAAAACUUUCUUGCAAUUGGUUGGCACAAUUGGUGUAAUAUGUUUGGACAAGAUUGAGUUGGUGCUUCCCGAAAGAAAGCCUUUGGCUGUUCAAUAAGCUACAAUUCUCAUUCGCAAACGAAAUUCAAUCUAUACAGUCUCUUCGUCCUAUAAAAAUAGACUAAUUUUCUUUUUUCAUUUGUUCCAAAAUUAUCGGUGACUUUUCUAGUUGAAAAUAUAGUUAAUUUAUUAAUUCUCAAAUAUGCUCAUAUUUGAUGUGCAUUGUUAUCAACAAAUAUGAAUUACAACUAUUUAUAUUUAAACCAUUACUCAAUGUAACUAUAUAUUAAGAAAAAUAUAAAUAAAAUUUAUUGUUCAAACUAAUUAAUUUUUUUUUUAUUUUUGUAAAAAAUGAAAGCAACUCUCAUGGAAGGAAUAUUUUUCAUUUCCAGAUAUGCUAUGGUUAAACACAUAUUGAAACCAGCGUGAUUCAAGCUUGUCAAGAGUUGCCCUACCGUAAUUGUAGACUCGACGGGCAUGGCGGACGAUCAAUCGGCCAAAUUUAUUGAAAAAUAUAAAAUUUUGAGGUAAACCUUAAAAGAACAACCAGAUUCUCUUUUCAUAUUAAACGAAACCGCUCAUUUUUUCAAUUAAUUUAAUAUUAAUCAAUUCUACUUAUAAAUUAUUACUCCAUCUAUUCCAAUUAUAUAGGCUUGUUUCGUUUUUCACACGAAUUAAGAAAUCUUCUUCAAUGUCAUUGGAAAAUUAUUUUUGCCAAGAUUUUUCCUAGUUUAUCCUCAUUUAAUUUUUAGUAUGUAGUAGUAAAUUAUUGUUGGAAUUAGUAAAGAAUUUGAAUGAUUUAAUUUGAAGAAGAAGAAAUGAGAGUUGUUUCAUGUUUUCAAGAAGUGGGAAGUGUGUAUUUGGAUAAUUUCAAGAAGUUGGUAUAUUAAGUGGGGAAAAUUGAAUAAGAGUAUAUUAAUAAAAGAACAAAACAAAAUAUUUUAAAUUUGGAAACAGUCCUAUAUAUUUGGGAUAAGAGAAAAAAGAAAACUCAGUCUAUAUAAUUGGGACGGUGAAAUAUUUAUAUUUAUAAACAUUAUAGUUGUAGACUAUACCUAAAACUUUCAUUUUUGUACCACAGUCCCAAACAUUUCAUCUCGAUUGUGGUUGGGGAACAUAUGGAUGCAAACCAUCCAUUCCUCCGUUAGUUGAUCAAAAAAAUAAUUUUUUGACUUAUUCUAACCAGUUAAGUGAAGGGUAGAAUGACCUGAUUACUAAUCCCACUUUGAAAUUUAAAAGUGGCAAUUAUGCCUAUACCAAAAGUCAAAUGGAAAUGAACGCUGUACACCAUUCUCUUCCACAAUGGGUUCACAAGAAACCCAUGAUUCCGAAGAUAAUCCCAUAGAAAUUACUUAUCAUCUAAGAGGCUCCCUUCUAGAACCAAGUAUGGUGAGUUUUAUAUUUUUUUAUUAAUUUCAUUGAUAGAACUCGCGUGAAAUGUUCAAUCUUUGGUAGAGAAACAUGUGCAUUGAACAUUGUCGUUCUUUUCUUGUACAUAGAUGUUGUAUUCGAAUUUUGUUUUCAUUAUUGUCACUAUAGCAAUAUACCAGGGUUUGGAUAUAUUUUCUCUAUUUAAUCGAUAUUCGUAUGAUGUGCUGGAGUUAAUUUUAUGUAGUUCCAUGUGAUUCUACACACUUUGAUUGGAGUUGCAAACUUUUUUGGUUCAGAGGAGAGUUCCUGAUAUUUAAAAAUACAACUGCACCAUGGUGGAAUAUUAUUUGCAAAGAUGCGAAAUUUGUGUAUGAACAUGGUAAGAUAAGUUAUUUAAACUAUGUUAAUCCUGAAUUGUUUAAUAGAUUUCUACUUAAUAGUGCCAUGAAGAUGUUGGGAUAUUUUGAGCAAAUGCGGUUAUCUUUAUAGGCUUGAAAGAAGAUUGAGUGAGGAAUCCUUUUGGUUAGUAACUGAUGACGAUUUCAUUAAUUUGUUAAAGUUACUUGGUGAGAAAAGUGUUGUUGAUCUGUAUUAUUUGCCUGUAGUAGAAGUUUUGGGAUUAUCUUGGGAAGAUAUAAUAACUUUUAAACUUUGUGCUGUUGAUCCUGAAACUCAUGAGAGUUUGGAUAGUAUGAAUAAGACUUGUGAACCAAUCAAGAAUAAGAAAGCUAAUCAAACAUAAAUAGAUUAGAAAGCAUAGUAUGUUGUAGAGGUAUUUGAUGAAAUAUUGAAAGGUAAUGAUAUGUAUAUUGUUGAAAAACCAUGUUGAAGAGAAAAUAUAAUGGUUGAGAGAGAUGUUGAUGAUGAAAUUUUAGGUGCGAAUUAAACAUUGGUUGAGGUGCAGAUGAUGGCGGAGCAACAAACUGAGGUUUAUGGUAAGCAGAACUUAGGUGAAUAACAUGGACCAGAAGUGGAUAAGCAGAACUUUGGUGAAUUGCAAACAUGAAGCAGAUCAAAAUAAUGGGGAACAAGCUGUUGAGCACAUUGAGAAGAAAUAGAGGCUUCCCAUCGAGGUUACAAAUGAAGAUACCGAAGUUGACACAACUUAAAUUGGCGAUGUUAUAAAUGUUAAGGUAGAAGAGGUUAAAGAGAAAAUGGCUGAGGACUUUGAAGAAUAGUUUGAUGUACAUAUUGGGGUACCAACAGAAGAUGUUGAUGAAGAAUGUGUUAGAAGAUUUCACUAAUCCUGUGUCUGAGCACGAUAAAUUACAAAAUGAUGAUCAUGAUUAGGAUAUAUUUUUUGAGUGUAGUGAGGGAUUUGAUAUUGGAAUGGAUAAUACAUGCAAUCAAGAAAAACAAAAGCAAACAAUGAUGAAGAUGCUGGAAUAGAAUAUGGGGAUUCAGAUGAUUUAAGAAGUAUGACUAGUGGAUGAGGAAGAAGAAGCAUCAAUUUCCAAAAAUAAAAAUGAAAGUUAGUUCAAUCCUACAAUAGAUAUGAAUAACAAUAAACUUAAUAUUGAUAGUGUAACCUAAUCAGUUAGACUUUUCUGUUGGGAAGUAGCAGGGAUCCCAGUUCUUUCACUUAGAUUCAACUGAGUAAAGGUUUGGGACCCAGCUCCAACAUCCAUUUUCUCUUUUAGAAUUCAUAUAUGAAGCUAUCUAAUAUUCUUUUCGACCUCUAUUGAUUGUUUGUUGAAUUUGUUGAGAUAGCUUUUAAGCGAUUCACUUCUUCCUAGCUUGAUGCUUACCAGUCAUUCUUUUGGUGUGGUUAUGAUCCUAGAGCCCAUGAAUUAGGCCAAGAAUGUCAUAGCUAGGUCAUUCCAAUUUUUUUACGGACUUUUGGUGUAACCUUCUAAACCACCUUUAUGCCUUGUCUCCCAUGGUCAAGGGAAAAGCAUGGUACGUGAUAGCAUCACUUGCU